rnacentral:tmRNA from 1 species
GGGGCUGUAAUGGAUUUCGACAGGUUUAUGUUUGAUUCAGGCUGCAGUGGAGCGGUGACCUUAUCACCACCUAAAUUUAAACGCUAACAGAAACAAUAGUUUCGCUUUCGCUGCUUAAUCUAACUUACGCAUAACGCGUCGCAGCGACCCGGCCGUACUUUAGCCGUUAUGUACGUGCUACGUAACUCAAACGGAUAAGGCGAGUCUUAAGCCUGUAAGGCAAGCCCGACAAUUCACAGGCAGAUUCAGCUGACGGUUAGCCCACUGACAUGUCCGCUGUCUUAUUCAACCAGUGGGAUAAACUGUAGACGCAGGAAUGUGGGACAACUCUUGGACAGGGGUUCGACUCCCCUCAGCUCCACU